rnacentral:rRNA from 1 species
UACGAAGGUCCCAAGCGUUAUCCGGAUUUAUUGGGUUUAAAGGGUGCGUAGGCGGUCUAUUAAGUCAGUGGUGAAAGCCCCAAGCUCAACUUGGGAACUGCCAUUGAUACUGAUGGACUUGAGUACAUUUGAGGUAGGCGGAAUGUGUCAUGUAGCGGUGAAAUGCUUAGAUAUGGCACAGAACACCGAUUGCGAAGGCAGCUCACUAAACUGUAACUGACGCUGAGGCACGAAAGCGUGGGGAGCAAACAGG